rnacentral:rRNA from 1 species
AGUGAACGCUGGCGGUAGGCCUAACACAUGCAAGUCGAACGGCAGCACAGUAAUAGCUUGCUCUUACGGGUGGCGAGUGGCGGACGGGUGAGGAAUACAUCGGAAUCUACUUUUUCGUGGGGGAUAACGUAGGGAAACUUACGCUAAUACCGCAUACGACCUACGGGUGAAAUCAGGGGAUCUUCGGACCUUGCGCGAUUGCAUGAGCCGUUGUCGGAUUAGCUAGUUGGCGGGGUAAAGGCCCACCAAGGCGACGAUCCGUAGCUGGUCUGAGAGGAUGAGCAGCCACACUGGAACGGAGAGACGGACCAGACUCCAACGGGAGGCAGCAGUGGGGAAUAUGGGACAAUGGGCGCAAGCCUGAUACAGCCAUACCGCGUGGGUGAAGAAGGCCUUCGGGUUGUAAAGGCCUUUUGUUGGGAAAGAAAAGCAGCAGGUUAAUACCCCGCUGUUCUGACGGUACCCAAAGAAUAAGCACCGGCUAACUUCGU